rnacentral:rRNA from 1 species
UACGUAGGUGGCGAGCGUUGUCCGGAAUUACUGGGUGUAAAGGGCGUGUAGGCGGGAAUGUAAGUCAGAUGUGAAAUGCCGGGGCUUAACCUCGGAGCUGCAUCUGAAACUGCGUUUCUUGAGUGUCGGAGAGGAAAGUGGAAUUCCCAGUGUAGCGGUGAAAUGCGUAGAUAUUGGGAGGAACACCAGUGGCGAAGGCGACUUUCUGGACGACAACUGACGCUGAGGAGCGAAAGCGUGGGGAGCAAACAGG